rnacentral:rRNA from 1 species
UAACACAUGCAAGUCGAACGGAACGAAAAGAGCUUGCUCUUGGCGUUAGUGGCGGACGGGUGAGUAACACGUGAGUAACCUGCCUUUCAGAGGGGAAUAAUGUCUGGAAACGGACACUAAUACCGCAUAAAAUAUUUUAACCGCAUGAUUGAAAUAUCAAAGGAGCAAUCCACUGAAAGAUGGACUCGCGUCUGAUUAGCCAGUUGGCGGGUAACGGCCCACCAAAGCGACGAUCGGUAGCCGACCUGAGAGGGUGAUCGGCCACAUUGGAACUGAGAGACGGUCCAAACUCCUACGGGAGGCAGCAGUGGGGAAUAUUGGGCAAUGGGGGGAACCCUGACCCAGCAACGCCGCGUGAGGGAAGAAGGUUUUCGGAUCGUAAACCUCUGUCCUUGGUGAAGAGGAAGAGACGGUAGCCAAGGAGGAAGCCCCGGCUAACUACGUGCCAGCAGCAGC